GUGACCCCAAGAAGAUGAACAAGAUUAUCUUUUUUAGUGUGGUUAUUGAUCCUAGAUAUAAGUUUGAGUUUCUUGAAUUCUUACUUGUUGAAGUGUAUGGAAAUGAUGUUGGGGAAGCAAUUGCAAAAAGAGUGUGAAAGAUGAACAUUAUGAAUUAUUAGAUGCUUACAAGUCUUUGCUUAUUAAUUCAACAUCAACUCCUACAACAACACAAGAGAAAGAUCAAGCUUUAAAUUCACAAGCCUUAGAAACUACUAUAGUUCAUCUCAUUAUCCAUUGGUUGACAAGUUCAAGAAACAAAAGCGUGCCAUAGAUAAUAAUUUGGAUCUCUACCUAGCCGAGAAAGAAAGAGGGGUUGAUGAUUCAACAGGCUUCACAUAUUAGCUUGGUGGAAGUUAACCAACAUAGGUUGCCUAUUCUUGCUCGUCUUGCUCGAAAUAUCCUUUCCGUGCCCAUUUCAACGAUUGCAUCUGAGUCAGCUUUUAGCACCGGAUGAAGGGUUCUUGAUCCAUUUAGGAGCUCACUAAGUGAUAGGAUUGUUGAAAGCCUCAUUUGUACUCAAAAUUGGUUGAGAAAGUCAAAGCAACCCAUCUCAAUUGAAGAAGAUUUGAAGGGAAUUCGAAAACAUGAAGAAGCUUUGAUAAGUCUUGGCAUUUGUGAAGUCAAUGAUGAUGAAAUGGAGACUUGAAGGUUUGAAGCAAAAGAAAGUUUGAAGGAAGAAGAAUUGAAGACAAAUGUUCUUGACUUGUUAUGUUGUUAUUUGUUAAACUUUAAAACUUGAAUUUGUGUUUUUGUGGUGUUUUAAUUCCUUGAAACUUGUACUCUUGUAGACUAAGUAUUGUUAUGUUGUGGGG